AUGCUCACUGUGCAGCAUAUAUAAUAAAAUUGAGACGAUACAGAGAUUAGCAUGUCUCUUGCUCAAGGAUGACAUGUAAAUUCAGGAAGCAUUAAAAAUAAAA